CGCUGUUCAUUUACGCGAUAGACGUCGAGGUCUUCAACGCCUACCUAAAGGGCGUUGAUAAGUCCGUAGACGAAGCCAAGGCAGCAGUGGAGGAGAAACUCUCGACUUUCCCGACGUGGAUUGCCGUCGUAAGCUCCAUCGGCGGCUGCUUUGCGUCUGCGGUGCUCGUCUUUGGCGGCGUCUUGAUCUACAGGAAUAAGAAUUACCUAAUGUGCCGUUCACAGUGAACAAAGGGGAGGAGGAAAUGGAGCACAUGGAAGUACGAAGAUCACCGUCCAACUGCAAGCGAGGAAGCGGUCUGCAGCACUUGUAUCUGACUGUUCUAUUACGAGAGAAAUUUUGUGUGUGUGUGUGUCUGUGGAAAAGGAGCUUCUGUGUGCUAUAUAGUAUAUGUAUAGACCAAGGUUAUUGGAUUCAGAAACCUUAUUCAUAUUACGAGAAAAUGUAGAAAGACUAUUAUAAUUUCUUGAAGACACGUCCACACACACAUUUACUCCACGCACACACAAACACACACAUGAACUCGCUUGCUGACACACAUUGCCAAAAGUUAUCAAGACCGUUGCUAGAUAAUUGAUAUAAGAUGAAUGACCUCUGUUCUCAUUAAAAUAUUUUCCCAGAACUAUGAUAUCGUUGUAGGUAGUGGUAGGUAAUAUCAAUACGGUCAUGUUAUAUCUUCCUUUGAACCAAUACCAUUAUUAGUAUCACCCUAGAGGUAUCGGGAAGAGGUAGAAUUUGGUAAUAUGUAAAUUCAAUAUUGGAAGACAAUUUGCUAGUACUGCAAUUUUGAAGUGCAAGGUAGUGUUGAUAGUGUAGUUCAUUGCAAGAGUGAGUGCAAGAGGGAAGGGUGUUUUAAGACUGGCUAUAGGAGGAAAUAAUAAUGAGAAAAUUGUGCCGGAACCUAUGUUUAUUUCCGUACAGUUGCUCUUCAGUCUACUGUAUGAUGCUAAACUAUAAAUCUAUAUUGUAUAAAUCAAUAAACUUUGCUAUUAUAA